rnacentral:ribozyme from 1 species
GCUGCCCGAAACUUUGCACACCUCUUCGUGGUGGGUAGUAGGCAACACAAGCGAUUGUGGCUAAGAAUGCAGAG